CUCGACAAACACCAUGCGGCUGGGUUACGUGGCUUUUGUGAUACUUUUCCUCCGCAGAUGUCUCGGUGCUGAAUUGAUACAGUCUCCGAUGUCCAUCACCGAAAAUGUGGGCAAACGUGCCGACCUGAUCUGCGAUCUGGGCACAGCGAACACGGACGUAAUCCACUGGUACCGGCAGCCAGAUGGCCAACGCCCGGUCUGGAUCCUAUAUUACCGUAAUGGGGGCAACGUACACGACGAUGGAAUUGAUACCAAAUUUAAAGCGAGAAAUUUUGGAGAAAAGCAUUAUAUUCUAAUUGUGACCCGUCUCGAGAAAGAGGAUUCCGGCACCUAUUACUGUGCCUAUUGGGACCCACAGAGUUAA